rnacentral:rRNA from 1 species
UACGUAGGGUGCAAGCGUUACUCGGAAUUACUGGGCGUAAAGCGUGCGCAGGCGGUUCGGAAAGAAAGAUGUGAAAUCCCAGAGCUUAACUUUGGAACUGCAUUUUUAACUACCGAGCUAGAGUGUGUCAGAGGGAGGUGGAAUUCCGCGUGUAGCAGUGAAAUGCGUAGAUAUGCGGAGGAACACCGAUGGCGAGGGCAGCCUCCUGGGAUAACACUGACGCUCAUGCACGAAAGCGUGGGGAGCAAACAGG